AGGACGAACGCUGGCGGCGCGCUUAACACAUGCAAGUCGUGCGGUACCGAUGGCAAGUCUUCAUGACGAGCCUUCGGUAUAGCGGCGGACGGGUGAGUAACACGUGAGUAGCUGUCCUAGGGAGGGGGAUAACGCCUGGAAACGGGUGCUAAAACCCCAUAAGCCUCGCAAGAGGUGAAAGUGUACUUGUUACAGCCUUAGGGUGUGCUCGCGGCCUAUCAGCUAGUUGGUGAGGUAAGGGCUCACCAAGGCUAAGACGGGUAGCCGGCCUGAGAGGGUGUACGGCCACACUGGAAUUGAGAUACGGUCCAGACUCCUACGGGAGGCAGCAGUGGGGAAUUUUGGGCAAUGGGCGAAAGCCUGACCCAGCGACGCCGCGUUGGGGAUGAAGUCCUUCGGGGCGUAAACCCAUGUUGUAGGGGAAGAAGAAAGUGACGGUACCCUACGAGAAAGCCCCGGCCAACUACGUG
rnacentral:rRNA from 1 species